GAGUGGAGAGUAGUCUUUUAGGGUUUGGAGACAUAAGUAAGGAAAGAAAACAGAAGUGGGAGCAUGAAUAAGGACCUUUAGAUCAAGCAUCUUGCUUUUCCUUCAUUGAUCAAUAAGUCAUGUUCACACUUGAUCUUCAUCAAGAGUGAUCUUUUAUUUGAACCCUUAAUAUUUAAGUCAUGUUCAUGCUUGGUUCUAUAUAUAUUCUAAUCUGGACC
rnacentral:lncRNA from 1 species